UCUGACGCAGUUUCCUGCGGCCAGAUGCAGCGUCCAAACGCUGCGUUCUGCGUCUUUAAUUUUUGGACGCUGAUCAAAUCCAGCGUUGCGACAAAAACGCGGCGCUUACAACUGUAAAUUACAAAAUUAACUCUAUAACAUUUGUUAAUUACAAAAAAUAUUUACCCUAAAAAAAAUGUGUCGAGACUCUGCUUCUCCAUUCAUCUGCGCCGAAACUCUUCUUCCCCAUUCAUCUUCUCCAUCUUCUCCAUCUUCUCCAUCUUCUCCAUCAGCUGAGCUUAAAAGUUUAAUGGAUCGGGAGCAGAAGCGGCUUUAAACCCACCUUCCAAACUCCAUCAAUCCUCUUCUCUCUUCCCAGGUGUGUUUACAGAGCUUAUUCAGCAGAUACAAGUCAAAGGAGUGCAGAUUUUGAUUUUGAGCAAGGAUCAGAGAUAAACAAGAAU